rnacentral:rRNA from 1 species
UUGAACGCUGGCGGUAUGCUUAACACAUGCAAGUCGAACGGAAACGAAACUAGCUUGCUAGUAGGCGUCGAGUGGCGGACGGGUGAGUAACGCGUAGGAAUCUGCCUGAUAGUGGGGGAUAGCCCGAAGAAAUUCGGAUUAAUACCGCAUAAUCUAUUCGUAGUAAAGUGGGGGACUUUCGAGCCUCACGCUAUCAGAUGAGCCUGCGUAAGAUUAGCUUGUUGGUAGGGUAAAAGCCUACCAAGGCAACGAUCUUUAGCUGGUCUGAGAGGAUGAUCAGCCACAUCGGGACUGAGACACGGCCCGAACUCCUACGGGAGGCAGCAGUGGGGAAUAUUGGACAAUGGGGGCAACCCUGAUCCAGCAAUACCGCGUGUGUGAAGAAGGCCUGAGGGUUGUAAAGCACUUUCAAUUGUGAAGAAAAGUUAACGGUUAAUAACCGUUGACCUUGACGUUAACUUUAGAAGAAGCACCGGCUAACUCCGUGCCAGCAGCCGCGGUAAUACGGAGGGUGCAAGCGUUAAUCGGAAUUACUGGGCGUAAAGCGUGCGUAGGCGGUUUAUUAAGUCAGAUGUGAAAGCCCCGGGCUUAACCUGGGAACUGCAUUUGAAACUGGUCAACUAGAGUAUGGUAGAGGAAAGUGGAAUUUCUGGUGUAGCGGUGAAAUGCGUAGAUAUCAGAAGGAACAUCAAUGGCGAAGGCAACUUUCUGGACCAAUACUGACGCUGAGGUACGAAAGCGUGGGUAGCAAACAGGAUUAGAUACCCUGGUAGUCCACGCCGUAAACGAUGAUAACUAGCCGUUGGGGGGAUUUACCCCUUAGUGGCGAAGCUAACGCGUUAAGUUAUCCGCCUGGGGAGUACGGCCGCAAGGCUAAAACUCAAAGGAAUUGACGGGGACCCGCACAGCGGUGGAGCAUGUGGUUUAAUUCGAUGCAACGCGAAGAACCUUACCUGGUCUUGACAUCCUGCGAACUUUCUAGAAAUAGAUUGGUGCCUUCGGGAACGCAGUGACAGGUGCUGCAUGGCUGUCGUCAGCUCGUGUCGUGAGAUGUUGGGUUAAGUCCCGUAACGAGCGCAACCCCUAUCCUUAUUUGCCAGCACAUUAUGGUGGGAACUAUAAGGAGACUGCCGGUGAUAAACCGGAGGAAGGCGGGGACGACGUCAAGUCAUCAUGGCCCUUACGACCAGGGCUACACACGUGCUACAAUGGGAAGGACAAAGAGCCGCGAAGCCGCGAGGUGUAGCUAAUCUCACAAAUCUUCUCGUAGUCCGGAUUGGAGUCUGCAACUCGACUCCAUGAAGUCGGAAUCGCUAGUAAUCGUAGAUCAGAAUGCUACGGUGAAUACGUUCCCGGGUCUUGUACACACCGCCCGUCAUACCAUGGGAGUGGGUUGCACCAGAAGUGGCUAGUCUAACUUUGUGAGGACGGUCACCACGGUGUGAUUCAUGACUGGGGUA